CAAAGAUUAAGCCAUGCAAGUCUAAGUAUAAUUGUUUUACGGUGAAACUGCGAAUGGCUCAUUAAAUCAGUUAUAGUUUAUUUGAUGCUAUAGACCGAAAGGUCACUACAUGGAUAUCUGUAGUAACAUAGAGCUAAUACAUGCAAUAUAGUCUGACUUUUUGGAAGGACUAGCACUUAUUAGAUAUUAAACCGAUCCCAGCAAUGGGUUUUAUGGUGAUUCAUAGUAACUGAACAAAUCACAUGGUCUUGUACCGGUGAUGUUUCAUUCAAAUUUCUGCCCUAUCAACUAGAUGGUAGUAUAUAGGACUACCAUGGCUGUAACGGGUAACGGAGGAUUAGGGUUUGAUUCCGGAGAAGGAGCAUGAGAAACGGCUACUAUUUCUAAGGAAAGCAGCAGGCGCGCAAAUUAUUCAAUGGAAACAAUUUUCCGAAAUAGUGACAAAAAAUAUCAAUGCUAGGUACAAUGUAUUUAGUAAUUGGAAUGAGUACAAUUUAAAUCCCUUAACAAGUAACAAUUAGAGGGC
rnacentral:rRNA from 1 species